rnacentral:rRNA from 1 species
UACGUAGGGUGCGAGCGUUAAUCGGAAUUACUGGGCGUAAAGUGUGCGCAGGCGGCAGAGCAAGUCGAGUGUGAAAGCCCCGGGCUUAACUUGGGAAUUGCGCUCGAAACUACUUUGCUGGAGUGUGGCAGAGGAAGGUGGAAUUCCACGUGUAGCGGUGAAAUGCGUAGAGAUGUGGAGGAACCCCAAUGGCGAAGGCAGCCUUCUGGGCCAACACUGACGCUCAUGCACGAAAGCGUGGGGAGCAAACAGG